UUUGGACUUUACAACUGAAAGCUCAACACAUUUUUGUCACACUGAUCCAGAUCCUGAAGACCACCAGACCAAGAACAUGACAAACAUGUCUUCCAUCUGUAUCUGCAUCUUGGCCCUCACUUUCUGCAUCACAGUGUGUAGAGGAGACAUUUUGGUGACCCAGACUCCAGAGUCCAUAUCAGUUCAGCUGGGAGGUUCUGCCACCAUCAGGUGUAAAGCCAGCAGCACCAUCGAUGAUGACUUAGCCUGGUACCAUCAGAAACCAGGACAAGCUCCGAAAUUCAUUAUUAAUUUUGAGUCUAGUAUGAGUUCAGGUCGAUACCAAGGUAGUGGAUAUGAUUAUGACUUCAGUCUGACCAUCAGUAACAUACAGGCUGAAGAUGCAGGAGUUUAUUACUGUCAACAGCAUGAAGCUUUUCCACUCACACAGUGAUACAGAGCUGUACAAAAACCUACCACAGUUAAAGAGGAAGUGAGUGUACCAGCUGUAAGUCACCAUUCAGCACUGUUUCUACAUGAUACUGAUUAUUACUAAAUAG